rnacentral:rRNA from 1 species
GGACCCGCACAAGUAGUGGAGCAUGUGGUUUAAUUCGAAGAUACGCGCAGAACCUUACCAACACUUGACAUGUUCGUCGCGACUCUAAGAGAUUAGAGUUUUCGGUUCGGCCGGACGAAACACAGGUGCUGCAUGGCUGUCGUCAGCUCGUGUCGUGAGAUGUUGGGUUAAGUCCCGCAACGAGCGCAACCCUCACUUUUAGUUGCCAUCAUUAAGUUGGGCACUCUGAAAGAACUGCCAGUGAUAAGCUGGAGGAAGGUGGGGAUGACGUCAAGUCCUCAUGGCCCUUACGUGUUGGGCUACACACGUGCUACAAUGGUAUCUACAACAGGAAGCAAGACUGCGAAGUUAAGCAAAUCCCUAAAAGAUACCUCAGUUCGGAUUGCACUCUGCAACUCGAGUGCAUGAAGCUGGAAUUACUAGUAAUCG